GGUUUCCCUCAAACUGGAUUUUUCCUGCCUUGCCUAUCCCGAUGCAAUUGGUAAAGAUAUAUUUGAUCUCAAAUACUAAUCAUUUGGAGAAGUCAGUAAAGCAGGGUUGGCAGAGAGGGACAAAUGAGCAUUUAUACAAUGAUUUCUGAUGUGAUGCUACCAACAUGGGGAAGCUGAAGGAAGACUACUGCAAGAGGUUGACUUGCGUAGGCCAAGUUUAGUAAGCAUGUGCUACCCACAUGUUUCCAUCAGUAUGUUUGUGGUUUCAGAAUUUGUCCAGGCCGUAUGCGUGAGAGCGACGGUGCCUGUACUUCCGAUGAUGGAUCAGCAUCAAGGUGGACACUCAGAGCCGUCACAGCCCUUCUGUCCUCAAACCCUUAUCCAGAUUUGUACACCUUGGAGCACUUGACCUGCAAGACCUGGAAGCUCACCCUCUGCUUGUGCUGGCCACGGUGGUGUGAUGGUGGCCAGCCAAUAUACACAUGGUGAGAUCUUCAGAAUCGUUUCAACCUGGAAUAUGCGACGAAAGACCGUUCUUCAGCUGAGCACCUGGCGCGAGCUGAUUGAUCGGUUUAGGUUAAAAUUGACUGGAAUUGGGGGUGUUAGGCCGCGCAAAGGGGAGGGGGGAGGUAUGUGGAUGAGCUUCCUGCUGUUGCUGUCAUGCCCAUUUCCAGGUCCCUUUCACUUGGGGUACAGCAGGGCAUAAAUUCCCCAUUAUUAUUAUUAUUAUUAUGAGGUCUUGCAAGAACAGUUCCUAUUUCCUUUUCGGAUUGGAUAGAUAUGUGGAAUAUCAUCUCUUCAUUUGUGUGCCGCAUCCUUAUCGCUGCCUUUUUUUUACAGCACGAAAAAGGAUCAUCGCUGCCUUUUUACGAUUGACUUCUCCAAGACCAUUGAAGAGCUUUUGGAAGAGCCAUGGCUUCACCAGUUGGGUUAGUGGUUUCGAUCAUAUACUUCACUAGUUGUCAAUUUCAGACGACUCGGUCACGCACAGAAUAUUUCAGCUGAGCUGCAGAGACCCCGAGCUGCUUCGCUGUCUAUGGGCUUUACAGUGAAGUGCACCGCUGCUGCAUCUCUUCUCUUCUACCUGCAACGAUCGUGCAAGCACUUCUGGCGCGUAUCUGCACCGUCCGUUCUGCUCUUUGAUGGACCCGAUUGCUUUGUCGCGAGGCGCGGCAGAGGAGGCAGCAGCAGCAGCAGCUGCUCAAUUGCUCAUGAGAUGCGGCUGCGCAACGGCCGGUGCCGUGGCGACGGAUGACAGCGGGCGUGCGCGUGGUUCGCGUGACGGCUGCGCCGUGCAUGCCGCGUGCAUGCCCCGCCCCGGCCCCGGCCCCGUCACCGAACGGCAUCCCCCCGGCCGGCCCAGCUGUGUGUGUCGACAGCAACAGCCGCGGGUGGCGCGGUGGUCAGCUUCGGCAUCCCGCCGCCGCUCGCCAUGAGUUCAACGCCCCCACCUGCUCCUCCCAUCGGGAGGCGGUCCACGCGUCGGCUUGUCGUAUCCGCGAUGCCACGUGGGUGACGGUGCGCAAGUCUCGGGGCACAUUUGGAACCGGGAGAAUUUUGCUUGAAUUUUAUUUCAAUCUCGUGGGAUUUACGGAAGUCUCCUGUGUUCCAAACGGGAUUCUGACAAGUAACAGCCAGUGAUGGCCAAGAACAAGUUGCCGAUCCCGAGGCGCUACGGUUGUUCUUGGCCAUCCCGUGAAAGGAGAUCCUCUGACGUAGUCGCUGACACGUGGGCCAUGUCACCCCGCGAUGUAACGUCCGAGGAACCACUUCCAUAUCCUGUGCCCGUCCACUUUCGACGUCCUUAGCCGCACGGAUGCAAUCGAUCUCGAUCUUGGCUAUUAGAGUAGUCCGAUUAGCCUAUCUUCUGCUGGAUUCCAAAGUCACAAUUGGACCUGGUUUACAGGUGUGAACGAAACCUGUCCUGAUUAGCAGCUUUAACAAAAGGUGGGUGAAGAGGAAGAAUUGUCUUUCUAAAGCUCAGGUCGUGCCUGGAAUUUGUAGUAGUUGCAGCAGCAACUAAUAUUGUAAUGCGCUAAUUGGAAUUUUCUUAUGAUUGACAAAACGAAACGCGCUGACUUGAUUUUUUUUUUUUUUGCUGAAAGAAAGAACUAGUAUUAGUCUUCAAUUGGAUGAUAAAAAAAAUGACAGUCUUG